UUGUUCAGAGUUAAUUUAGAAGCAUAUAAAUGUAGCGAUUAAAAUUGUUAUAUCAAGUAGCUGUGUUACCUCUCUCCUUUGCAGAUUGAUCUGUGUUUGCUCGCAUCCAAAUGCUUUGACCCCGUAAGGUAAUUUGAAACGGCUUUAUAAACGAUCCAGAGAUCAAAGGCAUCCAACGCUCCUGUGACGUCAUGAUAUUGCACGCGUCAUAGAAUGUUUACAUUUUUUAAACAGUGAAGCUGCCAUGGUCACGUGUGCUAUACACGUGACUGUUCAGCGCUAUGCUUCAUUCAAAAGAAAACAAAUAAGUGAUUAAUCAGCCAUUUUUCUGAAUAUGAAAAAAAAGAAAUGCUGGGAAACUGACCUUACACCUAUGUCUUACACACGUUAGUCCGACAUGUGACGUGACAUGGUUUAAGCUGUCUAAAACAUACUUCUAAACCUAUAACAAGUUAAAUUGCGAUAUGAUAUCAGAAAGCAUGCGUUGAAUCUUUAUCAUUCAUAAUAGGGUCAGUGUUAGAGCCAUUUGUGUGUCCAGUAUGUAUAUACACUUAUUUUACCUCAUUUCUUGAGACAUUUUUUGCUUAGGAUUGAAUUUGCUCAGAGUUAAUUUAGAAGCAAAUUCAUUUAGCUAUUAAAACGUGUUAUAUCAAGUACUGUAGCUGUGUUACUUCUCUCCUUUGCAGAUUGAGCUGUGUUUUUCUAAACUUUCCUCACAUGCAAGUCCCUGUAAAGUGAAAUCAGAAAUACGUCUCCAAGCACGCUAAAUAUGUUGCAAGAAGAUAGCUUUAAACAUGUGAAAAGACUGACAACUAUGUUUGAUUGAUUUCCGAUUUUUGACCGUUUUUACGGUUUUCUCAAGUUUCAGUUCUAGGUUUUAAUGGGCGGAGCUAAGUCGGGGCCUAUCUACGUAGAUCGGCCCUUCAGUUCAAUGUUCAAGUGUAUCUUCCCUGGAUGUCAGGGACAGCGCGGUCUGUUUGUUCAAAUUCCCCGGAUGAAGAGAUGAAGAACAGGUGGAUUAACUUUGUGAAGCGGUACCACGAUGGAGAGCUGAUGUUCACUAAUAUCACCCGCCUCUGCAGUGCCCACUUUUCCCCCGACGGUUUUGUCAACUUGUUUAACCGCGUUUGGCUGGUUAGUGGUCCCGAAACGUCUGUCUCUCCCCCCUGACCGUCACCUGCCCGUCUCGGACACACCUGGCUCCUUCACGGACAGUGGAUGCCCGCAUGUGAGUGUACGUUUCCCUUUUUUGCUGCAUGUUAAUAGUUAAUCUAUAUCAAAGUUUUUGUUGGCAAGUGAAAUAAUAUAACGUGAUUAUAUUGUGUUGCGUAGCAUGAUUUUCAUAUCUAAUGUGGUCAAGUUUAUGAUUAUUAGGUGAAGGGAUGCCUCACAUUUCUUUGUUGGGAGAGAGAGAGAGAGGGAAUGUGUGGUGUAAGAUUAAAGUUAGCAUCCAGCUCCAAUCAAAUAUGAUAGAGAACUUUAAUCUGUGUGUAAGAUAAUAAUAAUAAUAAUCGGUCAUAUCAACAGGUUAUUUUGGGGGAAGAGCAACAUAAAUGACCGCGCUGCAAGAAGCCGGGUUUUUUUUCUAAAUCUCCGCUAGUAGCAUGGCUAUUGUUGAUGUUGUAAAUGAUGCCUUCUGUGUCUAAAUAACCAGACAGAGACGGCUUGAAACGGCGCGUCUGCGACCGCCACCGCGUCGGUGUCUGGCUGCCUUUACGCACGUCCCUGACCGCCUUUACGCGUUUCUCUGACCGAGUACUGCACGUAAUUUUACUGUAGUUUAGAGAUUAUUAUACGUGUCAGUAUUAUCAGUAACAGUAUAUUUCAUUAGCAAGCAAAUUAAACUAUUAUCAGUUUUCACAUAGUCUCCUCCAACAACAAGAGAGACAGGGUGCCAGUGAGACAACAUACAGAAAGUCAUCAGAGAGGACAGACCUCUCUGUGGGUAAGAGGACAGGGGCCGCACAAUAGUCUUGGAGAACACUAGGCAACAGAAAAACUACAGGUAUGUUGAGAUAUAAAGGUCUUUGUGAAUGUCUAUGACGUUAAGGCAAACCUUCUAGAUAUGCACUAUAUGUACAUCAAAGAAAACACUGCUUAAAUUAUAUUCUUCAAAGAUUUGAAUAAGUACAACACAUUAAUAGAAAUUAAUAUUCAUCAUGUUGAGUCUGUCACGGUUAUUUUAUGAGCAACAUGCUGAUGUUACUGCUGUGGUAAAAACCUAAAAAAAAUAGUGACUGAAUAAAUACAGUAUUUUACACAUUUUACUGACAGACAGUUUACUAAUGUUUUCAUGAGAGAGAAGACCAUACGGGCUGGACAAAAUCUUGCAACAUUGAUGGUCAAAGUGCAGCUUAAAAAUGUUUUCAAGCUACAGGAGCCAACAGGAGCGUUGCUGUGGGAAGCACAGCAUCCCAAGUUCUUCCGCUCUUCUCAUCUACUCCACUCAAGUGAAAACUGCGUCACCUGACAGCCCACCUACAAAACGCCCUCUCUUGGCGUUCCGUGACAACAGUUCCAAUUUUGCAGAUCCUGAUGACACCACCUACCUCCCCAGUAUUUCUGAACUUGUUGACACCAUCACUGAACAAGCACCAGCCAAGGCAGUGCAAUACAUGCUGAAGUACUUGGUGUAUGAGGACUGGCUCCUGGAGCUUUUUAAAAUCUGCCCCACCUGCUCCAGACUCUGUGACGUUGACACGUUUGUUAAAGGAACAUUCUUCUCUGUAACCCAGAAGUGCCUCUACACGAGUGUCUCUUACUCAAGACUCCAGAGUCCUGAUAACACCUGCUGAGAGUGAGAGGAGGGGAGAGGACACCAACUAGAGAACCCAGAACUAUGAGGAUGGGAGGAAGCCAAGUUGGUAACAUACAUGUGUGGGAAUGGAUUUUGGCAUCCAAUGAGCCUGUGACGUCAUAUUCCGAGCGUCAUACAAUGUUUACAUUUUUAAACAAGUUGCCAUGGUAACCGUGGACUGAAAAUAUCAAUGUGGCCACGUGUAUUGUAUUUAUUUAAAAGAAAACAACUGAGGGAUUAUUCAGCCAUUCUUCGUCUUGCCUUUUCGUGUCAUUCAACUUCAACAUUCAUGAGUAAAUUGCUCUUGUAGCACAGUAAAUAUUUCACUAAUUAUUAUUAUUUUCAAAUGAAUUAUGCACAUUGCCCACAGACACUUUAGUGAUGAAUUUGCUCAAAGUGGGAAUAACGCUACGGAAUUAUUUUGUGAUGCUCUCUUCUUGUUUUAAACUAGCGACUGCAAAAUAGGUUAGACUUGCUUCAAACGGUGUAAAACUUCAAUGGUAGUUUGUUGUAAGGAUGUAGAUGAGUUUAACCAUAAAAAAAGACAGUAAAUUAUGUUGAAAACGUCGGUAAUCAUUUGCAUGUUAUUCGACUCGCUGCAGGAGAGAGAGACCACAUCACUGUCCGUGUGUGUGACUUUUGUGUGCCCAUUGCGUUAUGAAUCGUGUAAAUUUCUUUUGUACUUUAAUGCACUUUUAUAGAUGCCUGCAUUUAAUAAAAAAUCUAAUUAUAUAGAAAUAGAUAUCCUUUGUGUAAUAUGUUUGUUCGUUUGUUCUAGUUUUGUGGGAGAAAUCCAUCUAAGCAGUACAUAUUUUGUUUUGGUUCUACUCCAAGUAUUUUAUAACACCGUAUGGUGUAUUUGUUUUCUUUAGUAUGCUUUUCUUCUUUAUUCUUUUUUACUUGUUUUUUGAUGCAUACAAAAAAAAAUGGGAAUGCUUCUGUGAUGGGGAGAAAGACUGUGACUUUUAUGUGCCCUUUUGCUGCAUUACAGAAUUAAAAUGUUGCAGAUCCUAAUUCGUGUGUUGGUGCCUUACUGAUACUUGUGAUGGAGUAUUUUUGGACCAAGGUAUUUCUACUUUGCAGCUUCUGUUAUAGCCUAUAUAUCAAUAUAAUUAAUGAUCCCGGAGUCGUAAUGUGUCAGUUUUGUUUUAAAGCUCCUCUGAAGAACUUUUAGUUUAUGAUGAUUAUGGUGACCCCUGUGGACUUAAAUCACUUUGCUAUGUUAUGUUCUAUACAUGUG